GAGAGAUUCAGGCUUUCAGUCCAGCUGAAUAGAAGUGCAGCCCUGACUGAGCAGUUCAGCUCGGCAAAAAGAGCUGGAGCACAAUGGGAAAUCCUCCCUUGUCAGUAAUCCCACAGCAUCUCUCUCCAAAGCUGUUUUCCUUACUUCCCAGGAAGGAAUAAGCAUGGAAAGAAACUUCACUGAAGAGCAUGGGCUGAAAACAUGAAUUUCCAUAUUUCAUUUCCAUGUAAAGACAUUUGAAGACUUGAAAAUUAAAAUUGUCUGGUUUGAACUAAUUUGGUUUUAAUUAAUAAUUCUGCUCUUCAGUCACUUCUGACCAAUUUAUCACUCCUCAAUAUUUUUGUUGUUUAUUCCUAUUUGGAAACAAUAAUUGAAUGUAAAAUUUAAUAAAUAAUAUGAU